CCGCGCGCGCAGCACCUUUUGCUCAACCGGAGUUAGCCAAGAGGGGCGCCCUACCCACCUCCUACGCACUCCCCAAACUCCCCGGCAAGCUGUCCUGCCUCCAGGCUCCGGUCAAAAGGGCUUGGAUUCCGCCUUCUCGGAGCCAACUUCCUGCCGCUGGGUGGCCUGAACCUGAAACAGCUGUCUGCAAGUACAGAUUUAUUCUGGCCCAUCCCUGGGACCCUGGAAUUGGAGGAGAGCACGGGAUCCCCUUUACUCAACAAGGAGCCACGAAGCACCUACUGUGUGUCAACGCAGCAAUUAGGCACCAAGGCCUAUUGUGUGUUCAUUUAAAAAAUAAUCAAGUUCCUACCAUGUGCCACGCACUGUCCCAAAUACAGAACUGAUUUUUGCCCUGAUAGGAUCCCAGAAUUCGGCGCUGCCUCCUGUCCCCUAGAAGACGCAACCCACAGCCUACCUGCCUUUGCCCAUGGCUGCCCCGCCCUCGCUGCCAGGUCCAAGUUGUACCCUGCCUUCCAACCUGGGGCCCAUCCUCUAUCUGGUUCUUGAGUUUUCCCCUCUUUUCCUCAUUCGGCCUGCACUAGUUGUGAACAUGCAUAAGUAACCUGCUUAUAUGUUUAUUUACCAAAUACACUAAACAUCUGGUAGGUGCCAGACACUGUUCUAAAGGAUAGAGACAAAUCAGGGUACAAAACAGGCAAAACUCCUGGCCCCUUGUGGCUGAUGUUCUACCUGAUGUGUGCAGAAUAUCCAGAAUAUUGCAAGAAGCCUCUGGUAAAUGUCCUGGGGGAGGAGGCGGUUCCACUCUAUGAAUCCUUUGUACCUUUUGGCUGUUGUAACGUGCACAUUACUGUAACAUGUUUAAAUAUUCCAACAAUAAAUUAAAUUAAAAAUUAA